AACGAACGCUGGCGGCAUGCCUAACACAUGCAAGUCGAACGAGACCUUCGGGUCUAGUGGCGCACGGGUGCGUAACGCGUGGGAACCUGCCCUUAGGUUCGGAAUAACUCCCCGAAAGGGGUGCUAAUACCGGAUAAUGUCUUCGGACCAAAGAUUUAUCGCCUUUGGAUGGGCCCGCGUUGGAUUAGCUAGUUGGUAGGGUAAAAGCCUACCAAGGCGACGAUCCAUAGCUGGUCUGAGAGGAUGAUCAGCCACACUGGGACUGAGACACGGCCCAGACUCCUACGGGAGGCAGCAGUGGGGAAUAUUGGACAAUGGGCGAAAGCCUGAUCCAGCAAUGCCGCGUGAAUGAUGAAGGCCUUAGGGUUGUAAAGCUCUUUUAACCGGGAUGAUAAUGACAGUACCGGGAGAAUAAGCGCCGGCUAACUCCGUG
rnacentral:rRNA from 1 species